ensembl:lncRNA LOC120100890 uncharacterized LOC120100890
GGCAGUUUCACCUCAAAGAGGAAGUUGGGUGUGGCGGGCAGUUUGUUGACAUAUCCACCAUAGGAGUGCCCCUGGGAGCCCUCUCUCAUCUCUGACAGAUAACUGUGGGGUUUACUUCUCUCACCAGACAUUCCCAGCAAAGCACAGCUGAGGCGCCAUUGGCUUUGUGAGUUUGGAUUCCCCAUCAUCCAUUCCUCACAAGCUUCUUUCUGGGCCUACCGUGAGUCUUCAGCCUGUACCUGUCUGGAGUUCACUUGAGGGUGGAGUCUCUCUUCUCUCUCGGGAUCCCCCUUCAUUAUUUCUGGUGUCUCCCUCCGCUCUCAUACUUCAUUAAUCACUUUGGAAUUCUACAUAAUAAAUGGCCAGCUUGCUUCAGAAGAUGGAGAUGUGGAUCUGCGCAUGUACGGAACAGUGACGGUCCACACUGGAGGGAGAAAGCUGCCUCAGAGCUUGGACCUCAGUGGUCAAGAAUUUCUCAUCCACUCAUGGAGCUGCUUUGAGGAUCAAGAGAGAUAAUACACCUUAACGUGUUUGGGCUUUGCAGGCAGGUUGGAGCCUUCCACAUCUU